UCAACCACUUCUGCGCGCUCAAUCCAACGCACAACGCACUCCUGCCUCGUGGAAACAGUAAGUUGAAGACUGGUGGCAUUGCUAAGAUCUAAGAAUUCCAAGGCAUUGCAUUCAAACUCCUAUGAGUGGUUGUGGACUUGGAGGGAACAACUUGCUGGCCUUUGUGACACCCAGGAAACCUUUUCUGCUUAAUUGGACAGCAGCAGUAGAAAUAGAUGGGAA